AUUUUAAUAGCUGAUAUGUUUAUGGGACUGAGGACUGAAAAUAACUAUUCAUAAGUACCUUGUCUUGUUUUCAAUGGAGGUGCAUUGAAAAGAUAAUUUGCUUCUUUUGUAUAUGCAGAUCAAAUGAUUAAUUGAUUUUGAUUGUAUAAUGGUUGGCUACUUGUUGCUUCCUAUUGUUUGGACAUUUAACCUAAGUACCAAUGCUCCAACUCAAGACAUUGUUAGGAACCCACUUUG
rnacentral:misc_RNA from 1 species